rnacentral:rRNA from 1 species
ACCGGCAGCUAGCUCUCUGCAACUCUCACAUGGUCACCCACUGAAGCUAAGCAGGGCUGCGCCCGGUCAGUACCUGGAUGGGAGACCACAUGGGAAAGCUAGGUUGCUGCCGGAA